GGACGUUACUGUAGUUUAUUAGUCCUUAAGGAUAUCCCAAGCUUAGUAGUCAUUGCUUCGGUACGGACGUUACUGUAGUUUAUUAGUCCUUAAGGGUAUCCCAAGCUUAGUAGCCAUUACUUCGGUACGGACGUUACUGUAGUUUAUUAGUCCUUAAGGGUAUCCCAAGCUUAGUAGUCAUUGCUUCGGUACGGACGUUACUGUAGUUUAUUAGUCCUUAAGGGUAUCCCAAGCUUAGUAGUCAUUGAUUCGGUACGGACGUUACUGUAGUUUAUUAGUCCUUAAGGGUAUCCCAAGCUUAGUAGUCAUUGCUUCGGUACGGACGUUACUGUAGUUUAUUAGUCCUUAAGGGUAUCCCAAGCUUAGUAGUCAUUGCUUCGGUACAGACGUUACUGUAGUUUAUUAGUCCUUAAGGGUAUCCCAAGCUUAGUAGCCAUUGCUUCGGUACGGACGUUACUGUGGUUUAUUAGUCCUUAAGGGUAUCCCAAGCUUAGUAGUCAUUGCUUCGGUACGGACAUUAUCUUAUCCAUUGAUGAAUUUAAGGUGGUACCUAACACUACAGGGAGAUAACUCUGUAAAAAUCAGCUAAACGUU